rnacentral:rRNA from 1 species
CGUACUGCUCAGUAACACGUGGACAACCUACCCUCAGGUCAGGGAUAACCCCGGGAAACUGGGACUAAUACCUGAUAUAUCGCAGAGGCUGGAAUGCGCUGCGAUAGAAAGCUCCGACGCCCGAGGAUGGGUCUGCGGCCUAUCAGGGUAGUAGUGGGUGUAACGUACCUACUAGCCUACGACGGGUACGGGUCGUGAGAGCGAGAUCCCGGAGAUGGAUUCUGAGACACGAAUCCAGGCCCUACGGGGUGCAGCAGGCGCGAAAACUUUACAAUGCUGGCAACAGCGAUAAGGGGACCUCGAGUGCCAGGAUACAAUCUUGGCUGUCGCUGUGUCUAAAAAACACAGUAUAGCAAGGGCCGGGCAAGACCGGUGCCAGCCGCCGCGGUAACACCGGCGGCUCGAGUGGUAACCGCUACUAUUGGGUCUAAAGGGUCUGUAGCCGGCCGACUAAGUCUCUUGGGAAAUCUGGCAGCUCAACUGUCAGGCUUUCAGGAGAUACUGAUCGGCUCGAGACCGGGAGAGGUGAGAGGUACUUCAGGGGUAGGGGUGAAAUCUUGUAAUCCUUGAAGGACCACCAGUGGCGAAGGCGUCUCACCAGAACGGAUCUGACGGCAAGGGACGAAAGCUAGGGGCACGAACC